AAAUUGAAGAGUUUGAUCAUGGCUCAGAUUGAACGCUGGCGGCAGGCCUAACACAUGCAAGUCGAACGGUAGCACAGAGAGCUUGCUCUCGGGUGACGAGUGGCGGACGGGUGAGUAAUGUCUGGGAAACUGCCUGAUGGAGGGGGAUAACUACUGGAAACGGUGGCUAAUACCGCAUAACGUCGCAAGACCAAAGAGGGGGACCUUCGGGCCUCUUGCCAUCAGAUGUGCCCAGAUGGGAUUAGCUUGUUGGUGAGGUAACGGCUCACCAAGGCGACGAUCCCUAGCUGGUCUGAGAGGAUGACCAGCCACACUGGAACUGAGACACGGUCCAGACUCCUAGUUAAUCGGAAUUACUGGGCGUAAAGCGCACGCAGGCGGUCUGUCAAGUCGGAUGUGAAAUCCCCGGGCUCAACCUGGGAACUGCAUUCGAAACUGGCAGGCUUGAGUCUUGUAGAGGGGGGUAGAAUUCCAGGUGUAGCGGUGAAAUGCGUAGAGAUCUGGAGGAAUACCGGUGGCGAAGGCGGCCCCCUGGACAAAGACUGACGCUCAGGUGCGAAAGCGUGGGGAGCAAACAGGAUUAGAUACCCUGGUAGUCCACGCCGUAAACGAUGUCUACUUGGAGGUUGUGCCCUUGAGGCGUGGCUUCCGGAGCUAACGCGUUAAGUAGACCGCCUGGGGAGUACGGCCGCAAGGUUAAAACUCAAAUGAAUUGACGGGGGCCCGCACAAGCGGUGGAGCAUGUGGUUUAAUUCGAUGCAACGCGAAGAACCUUACCUGGUCUUGACAUCCACAGAACUUUCCAGAGAUGGAYUGGUGCCUUCGGGAACUGUGAGACAGGUGCUGCAUGGCUGUCGUCAGCUCGUGUUGUGAAAUGUUGGGUUAAGUCCCGCAACGAGCGCAACCCUUAUCCUUUGUUGCCAGCGRUUAGGYCGGGAACUCAAAGGAGACUGCCAGUGAUAAACUGGAGGAAGGUGGGGAUGACGUCAAGUCAUCAUGGCCCUUACGACCAGGGCUACACACGUGCUACAAUGGCGCAUACAAAGAGAAGCGACCUCGCGAGAGCAAGCGGACCUCAUAAAGUGCGUCGUAGUCCGGAUUGGAGUCUGCAACUCGACUCCAUGAAGUCGGAAUCGCUAGUAAUCGUGGAUCAGAAUGCCACGGUGAAUACGUUCCCGGGCCUUGUACACACCGCCCGUCACACCAUGGGAGUGGGUUGCAAAAGAAGUAGGUAGCUUAACCUUCGGGAGGGCGCUUACCACUUUGUGAUUCAUGACUGGGGUGAAGUCGUAACAAGGUAACCGUAGGGGAACCUGCGGUUGGAUCACCUCCUUA
rnacentral:rRNA from 1 species